UAAUUUUAUAGAGACAGUGGCUCGCCAUAUUGCCAAGGCUGGCCUCGAACUCCUGGGCUCAAGCAAUCCUUCCGCCUCGACAUCCCAAAGUGCUGAGGUAACAGGCGUAAGCCACUGCGCCCGGCCUCCUAUUUUUCAUCAAAUAAAAUACAACCGUUCAGAGCAGCAUGCUCAGCAACCACGAGGACCAGUCCCAGCGCAUCCAAGGUGCCGGGAGGGAAAGGAACAGAACUCC
rnacentral:lncRNA from 1 species